rnacentral:sRNA from 1 species
UCUCGUCGCGGAGUACCAGCAGUACCAGGACGCCACAGCCGAUGAAGAGUACGAAGACGAAGAGGAAGAAGCUGAGGCCGAAUAGCAUUGAGCCCCAUUUGCCCUUCACAGGUUGUUUUGCCAGUGAAGAGUUUUGUGUCUUUGUGAUGCUGUGCUCUUUUUUCUUUCUCUGACGUGCGUGAUGGAUGUAUGGGUGAGGUUUGCGUCCGUGCUUCGUUUUGUCACCUGUGCUGCGUAGCAGGCUGCAGUCCCGUUUUGUAAGACGUCUCUGGUGGUCAGUAGCUGAAGGCUUGAAAAGUGUUUUGAGUGCCCUCCUUGAGCUAAAUCACCUGUAAGUUCUGACAUGUAUUGGUAGUGGUUUUCUCAUCUCUGUGAAGCUUCUGUGUAGUCUGUUACU